rnacentral:rRNA from 1 species
UAGGGAAUCUUCGGCAAUGGACGAAAGUCUGACCGAGCAACGCCGCGUGAGUGAAGAAGGUUUUCGGAUCGUAAAACUCUGUUGUUAGAGAUGAACAAGGACGUUAGUAACUGAACGUCCCCUGACGGUAUCUAACCAGAAAGCCACGGCUAACUACGUGCCAGCAGCCGCGGUAAUACGUAGGUGGCACGCGUUGUCCGGAUUUAUUGGGCGUAAAGCUAGCGCAGGCGGUUUCUUAAGUCUGAUGUGAAAGCCCCCGGCUCAACCGGGGAGGGUGUUUGGAAACUGGGAGACUUGAGUGCAGAAGAGGAGAGUGGAAUUCCAUGUGUAGCGGUGAAAUGCGUAGAUAUAUGGUGGAACACCAGUGGCGAAGGCGGCUCUCUGGUCUGUAACUGACGCUGAGGCUCGAAAGCGUGGGGAGCAAACAGG